CCUACGGGGGGCAGCAGUAGGGAAUAUUGCUCAAUGGGGGAAACCCUGAAGCAGCAACGCCGCGUGGAGGAUGAAGGUCUUCGGAUCGUAAACCUCUGUCAGCAGGGAAGAACGGUCACUGUGCUAAUCAGCAGUGAAUUGACGGUACCUGCAAAGGAAGCACCGGCUAACUCCGUGCCAGCAGCCGCGGUAAUACGGAGGGUGCGAGCGUUAAUCGGAAUUACUGGGCGUAAAGCGCUCGUAGGCGGUAUGUCAAGUCAAGGGUGAAAUCCCCGCGCUCAACGUGGGAACUGCCUUUGAAACUGGCAAACUGGAGUGUGUGAGAGGAUAGUGGAAUUCCAGGUGUAGGAGUGAAAUCCAUAGAUAUCUGGAGGAACAUCAGUGGCGAAGGCGACUAUCUGGCACAUAACUGACGCUGAGGAGCGAAAGCGUGGGUAGCAAACAGGAUUAGAUACCCCAGUAGUC
rnacentral:rRNA from 1 species